rnacentral:pre_miRNA from 1 species
ACAAUACUCCCUUCCUCUUAAAAUUCUUGUUUUAGAUUUGUCAGAUAUGAAUGUAUGUAGUCACGUUUUAGUAUUUUGAUACAUUUAUUUCUAGACAAAUGUAAGACAAGAAUUUUGGAACGGAGAGAGUACUUC